rnacentral:rRNA from 1 species
AUUGAACGCUGGCGGCAUGCUUUACACAUGCAAGUCGAACGGUAACAGGCCGCAAGGUGCUGACGAGUGGCGAACGGGUGAGUAAUGCAUCGGAACGUGCCCAGUCGUGGGGGAUAACGCAGCGAAAGCUGCGCUAAUACCGCAUACGAUCUAUGGAUGAAAGCGGGGGACCGUAAGGCCUCGCGCGAUUGGAGCGGCCGAUGUCAGAUGAGGUAGUUGGUGGGGUAAAGGCUCACCAAGCCAACGGUCUGUAGCUGGUCUGAGAGGACGACCGUCCACACUGGGACUGAGACGCGGCCCAGACACCUACGGGAGGCAGCAGUGGGGAAUUUUGGACAAUGGGCGCAAGCCUGAUCCAGCAAUGCCGCGUGCAGGAAGAAGGCCUUCGGGUUGUAAACUGCUUUUGUACGGAACGAAGCGGUCCUGGUUAAUACCUGGGGCUAAUGACGGUACCGUAAGAAUAAGCACCGGCUAACUACGUGCCAGCCGCCGCCGUAAGAC